GCCGAAGUGGCGGAAUGGCAGACGCGGCGGUCUCAAAAACCGUUGGGCUAAUCACCCGUGUGGGUUCGAAUCCCACCUUCGGCACCA
rnacentral:tRNA from 1 species